rnacentral:misc_RNA from 1 species
GAAAUGCGAUAAGUAAUGUGAAUUGCAGAAUUCAGUGAAUCAUCGAAUCUUUGAACGCACAUUGCGCCCGCCAGUAUUCUGACGGGCAUGCCUGUUCGAGCGUCAUUACAACCCUCAGGCCCCCGGGCCUGGCGUUGGGGAUCGGCGGAAGCCCCCUGCGGGCACAACGCCGUCCCCCAAAUACAGUGGCGGUCCCGCCGCAGCUUCCAUUGCGUAGUAGCUAACACCUCGCAACUGGAGAGCGGCGCGGCCACGCCGUAAAACACCCAACUUCUGAAUGUUGACCUCGAAUCAGGUAGGAAUACCCGCUGAACUUAAGC